UCAGGCCUAACACAUGCAAGUCGAACGAAGUAGCAAUACUUAGUGGCAGACGGGUGAGUAACAUGUAGGUAUCUACCCUUUGGCCUGGAAUAACACGAGGAAACUUGUGCUAAUACCGGAUAAGUCUUUACGGAGAAAGCUUUAUGCACCAUUGGAUGAGCCUGCACUUGAUUAGUUUGUUGGUGGGGUAAUGGCCUACCAAGACUGUGAUCAAUAGCUGAUUUGAGAGGAUGAUCAGCCACAUUGGGACUGAGACACGGCCCAAACUCCUACGGGAGGCAGCAGUGGGGAAUCUUGCACAAUGGAGGAAACUCUGAUGCAGCGAUGCCGCGUGAGUGAAGAGGGCCUUUGGGUUGUAAAGCUCUUUCGUCGGGGAAGAAAAUGACUGUACCCUAAUAAGAAGGUCCGGCUAACUUCGUGCCAGCAGCCGCGGUAAUACGAAGGGACCCAGCGUAGUUCGGAAUUACUGGGCUUAAAGAGUUCGUAGGUGGUUGAAAAAGUUAGUGGUGAAAUCCCAGAGCUUAACUCUGGAACUGCCAUUAAAACUUUUCAGCUAGAGUAUGAUAGAGGAAAGCAGAAUUUCUAGUGUAGAGGUGAAAUUCGUAGAUAUUAGAAAGAAUACCAAUUGCGAAGGCAGCUUUCUGGAUCAUUACUGACACUGAGGAACGAAAGCAUGGGUAGCGAAGAGGAUUAGAUACCC
rnacentral:rRNA from 1 species